UAUCUGCCACAAAGCAAGGACAUCAAAGCAAAGAGUUGGCGUCUUUUAAAAAUAGUUCCUGUUGUAAACUAUGUGAUAAUAACACUUUUCACGUACCUUUACGACAACCGUUGACGUUCUGGACUAAAAUAUCCAACAUUUAUGAAGGGCCACAUAUUUAAUAACAAAUUCACAUAUCCCCGCCUUAAGGUUAAGAAAAUGGCGCUCCUUUGCGUCGUGCAAGCACUCUGGUGAAUGAGGGUUUGAGAUGAAUAAUUAUUGGAUAUAGUAUCGAAUAUCCCUCAAACGGCAUUAAAUUAAGUUAAUUUAGAAAAUGAUGUAAGGAAACUUCAUUUGUUUUAUUUCGAUUUAAACAUAAAUCGAUUUAAAUUGUUAGUGGUGAAUUCUAUCGAUUAUUGGUGAAAAUCAAAAUGAUGUUCAAAAAUAAAGCUGGUUGAAUGGCAAUCAAAGUAAA